rnacentral:rRNA from 1 species
UACGUAGGGUGCAAGCGUUGUCCGGAAUUAUUGGGCGUAAAGGGCUCGUAGGCGGUCCAUCACGUCGGGAGUGAAAAGCUGGGGCUUAACCCCAGUCCUGCUUCCGAUACGGGCAGACUAGAGUUCGGCAGGGGAGACUGGAAUUCCUGGUGUAGCGGUGAAAUGCGCAGAUAUCAGGAGGAACACCGGUGGCGAAGGCGCUCUGCUAGGCCGUAACUGACACUGAGGGACGAAAGCUAGGGGAGCGAAUGGG